UCCUUUGCCCCCGUCACAGGUGAUUCAUCAUGCGCUCAUGGAUGAUGGAUUGAAAAGGGAAUCCGGUGCGAGUCCGGAACUGUACCCUCAGCUGUAAUUUCAGUAGAAUGGUUCUGCAUUCUUUUUGAUCACUGUAUGCCGCAUCAAUGGCAACGGGAAGAUCGCAAAACCUUGAAAAAGUCAGAAGACCUGCCUGGGCGACUUUUUUUUA
rnacentral:ncRNA from 2 species